AUGAACGCUAGCUACAGGCUUAACACAUGCAAGUCGAGGGGCAGCAUGACCUAGCAAUAGGUUGAUGGCGACCGGCGCACGGGUGAGUAACACGUAUCCAACCUACCGGUUAUUCCGGGAUAGCCUUUCGAAAGAAAGAUUAAUACCGGAUAGUAUAACGAGAAGGCAUCUUUUUGUUAUUAAAGAAUUUCGAUAACCGAUGGGGAUGCGUUCCAUUAGUUUGUUGGCGGGGUAACGGCCCACCAAGACAUCGAUGGAUAGGGGUUCUGAGAGGAAGGUCCCCCACAUUGGAACUGAGACACGGUCCAAACUCCUACGGGAGGCAGCAGUGAGGAAUAUUGGUCAAUGGACGAGAGUCUGAACCAGCCAAGUAGCGUGAAGGAUGACUGCCCUAUGGGUUGUAAACUUCUUUUAUAUGGGAAUAAAGUGAGCCACGUGUGGCUUUUUGUAUGUACCAUACGAAUAAGGAUCGGCUAACUCCGUGCCAGCAGCCGCGGUAAUACGGAGGAUCCGAGCGUUAUCCGGAUUUAUUGGGUUUAAAGGGAGCGUAGGCGGACUAUUAAGUCAGCUGUGAAAGUUUGCGGCUCAACCGUAAAAUUGCAGUUGAUACUGGUCGUCUUGAGUGCAGUAGAGGUAGGCGGAAUUCGUGGUGUAGCGGUGAAAUGCUUAGAUAUCACGAAGAACUCCGAUUGCGAAGGCAGCUUACUGGACUGUAACUGACGCUGAUGCUCGAAAGUGUGGGUAUCAAACAGGAUUAGAUACCCUGGUAGUCCACACAGUAAACGAUGAAUACUCGCUGUUUGCGAUAUACGGCAAGCGGCCAAGCGAAAGCAUUAAGUAUUCCACCUGGGGAGUACGCCGGCAACGGUGAAACUCAAAGGAAUUGACGGGGGCCCGCACAAGCAGUGGAGUAUGUGGUUUAAUUCGAAGCAACGCGAAGAACCUUACCAGGUCUUGACAUCGUAUGCAUACCUCAGAGAUGAGUGAAAUCUCUUCGGAGACAUAUAGACAGGUGGUGCAUGGUUGUCGUCAGCUCGUGUCGUGAGAUGUUGGGUUAAGUCCCGCAACGAGCGCAACCCUUAUCCUUAGUAGCCAGCAGUCCGGCUGGGCACUCUAGGGAGACUGCCAGGGAUAACCUGGAGGAAGGUGGGGAUGACGUCAAAUCAGCACGGCCCUUACGUCCGGGGCUACACACGUGUUACAAUGGGGGGUACAGAAGGCAGCUACACAGCGAUGUGAUGCUAAUCCCAAAAGCCUCUCUCAGUUCGGAUUGGAGUCUGCAACCCGACUCCAUGAAGCUGGAUUCGCUAGUAAUCGCGCAUCAGCCACGGCGCGGUGAAUACGUUCCCGGGCCUUGUACACACCGCCCGUCAAGCCAUGAAAGCCGGGGGUACCUGAAGUCCGUAACCGCAAGGAGCGGCCUAGGGUAAAACUGGUAAUUGGGGCU
rnacentral:rRNA from 1 species